AGUUCUAACUGCACUGCUGUAUCGUUUUCUUGUAAAAGUAUUUUCCUAAAUUAUGUGUCUUUUUCUACACAGAUGGUGGUUAGCAUUAAAACGAUGCGCGAGUGCACAGCUGCUGCACCUCCCUGUGAAGGAACAGGGCACUGUCAUAAGGAGGACAGACUUUGAGCAACUUUCUAUUCCACUGACAUAUUAACCAUUACCCUUUAAAGUGUUGAAGAGCUUAAAUCUACGUGUGUGUGUGUGUGUGUGUGUGUGUGUGUGUGUGUGUGUGUGUUGCAGACUGUGUGGGACAAAGACAAAGCAUAGAGAAAAAGGAAAGCUGAACUGUGCUGGAAAAAGACCAUGGCUCAAACAUUACAGAGCCAGAGUCAUUUUAUCAAUAAGUACAUAGAUCUGCUCACGCAGGAUUCAGAGGAUCUGGACGCCUCAGCCUCUACAUCAGCAGAGCAUAGGUACCUAAGCAUGCUCGUAGUGACGCAGUGUUCUUAAUAAUUCAACUUGUAUUGUAUUCUCAAUAUCCAGUCAGUACAUUUAUGUCAGUAAAUGCAUGCAUCAACACUUCCUUGACUUUGCUGAGCAGUUGUCUGUUCUUUGUCCUAAAAGUUCUUGCAUAUAAUGGUGGUCUUCACAUAACAUAAGUAAAUUCCCAUCCUUAAACUCUUUAUCUUGCAUAUUCAUUUCGAGCAUUUUCUGUUGGGGUAAAUGAGUAGAGAGGAUCCUAGGCCAUUUUUAGCAAUUUCCUGCCCCAGUUCAUGUGACAGUGCUCUGGUGUGUGUGGGACCUCGUCGUUGGCGUGCCAGAGGAGGAGAGAGGAGGCAGAUGGAGAUGUGUAUCCUGUGUCACGAAGCGCAGGAGAUCCUACCUGAUGGCACCACCAUGGUGCUCGCUGCCUUUGUCCAACGCUCUACGGUCAUGUCCAAGAACCGCAAAAGACCCCCUCACAAUCCAGAGAGCUGUGAUCCCCUCUUCAUGCACCCUGACCUGUCCUUUGGUACCCAUACCGGCAGCUGUGGCCACAUCAUGCACUCUCACUGCUGGCAGAGGUCUUUGAAUAUCAAUGAUGCAAACAGGGAGGAGAAAUAUAACAGAUCACUGUCCUGCUGGAAGAUCCAACGACGGCCAAUUUGAAGCUUUCUGUCAGAGGCAGUCAGGUGUCGCGUAUCAGGAAGCUCUGGACUCCACUUCCCAUCAGCCACUGCACUGCACUACGUCACAUGACCACCUGCACCUAAUUCACGUUUUGAACGAAAGACCAACAAUCAGAAGCAGCAGAUCGCCAAGAUGGAUAACUGGGGCGUCAGGAUGCCACCAAUGUUAGUGGAGUACUUUGCCACGUUGCGCCAACAGUCGGAAGAUUACCAAGCUGCGCUACGAAAGCAGCAGGAUGCCAGGAAUUACCUGGGCUUCAACUUACCGCCUAUGUUCAUGCAGGACUACGCCAUGCUACGCCAACAGGAGGAGGAGUCCAGGUACAAGGGGGAGUUUGUGUUCAGUACAGAGACCCAGCCCGGGACCGACAGGGUGACCUCAGAGCUCGAACCUGAGCUCCACGAGGUGGGCUCACCUGCCGAGCUCCAGCAAAAGGUCAGCGGGGAGGCACUAGCACCAGGCUUUGAUGUCCGAGUCCCAGUCAAGUCUCAAGUCCCUAAGGUCCCAGCCAAGCCUCGCGUCCCUGAGGUCCAAAUCAAGCCUCGCACCGCCAAGCUCCGCUCGCGCCACAGUCCGCCGACACGCACCGCCAAGCUCCGCUCACGCCACAGUCCGCCGACACGGCCAGCCAAGCUCUGCCUAUGCCCAAGGUUCACAUAGUGACCUCAGAGCCUCAGCCUCCCCGUUCAGCUGAGGUCGUCGCUCAACCCGCCUGCUCCAUGGCAACUAGUGUUCCCCCCUUCUGCUUCGAGGAGACCCACACUCCUCUCCCUGGCCGCACGGGGGACUUCUCUCGGCCUUCCAGUUCAGCUGGGGACGUCGCGCCGCUUUCAUGCUCUGCCAAGGAAAUAUCUCAGCCUCCCUGUGCCAUUGUAGAAACCGCCUGGCCUCCUGAUUUUGCGGGGGACAUUUUCUCCAGGGGGCCAGGACCACCAGAUGGAGGACGUAUAAUUUUGGGCGCUCCGGGAGUAGCGCCCUUGGGGGGGAGGGUUCUGUCACGUAUCAGGAAGCUCUGGACUCCACUUCCCAUCAGCCACUGCACUGCACUACAUGUCACAUGACCACCUGCACCUGAUUCACGUUUUGGUUAAUGAGCACUCGUGUGUGUGUAUAUAUAGCCAUUGUCUGCACUGAUUCACUGUCUUUUGUUGUAUUAGACUACCAUGUUACAUGUUUUGUUUCAUGCCACAGUAUUUUGCCUAGUUGUCGUAGUGUCUAUGUUUUGUUGUUUGUUCAUAUAAUAAAUGUUAUAUAUCUGUGA